rnacentral:rRNA from 1 species
CUGGUUGAUCCUGCCAGUUGUCAUAUGCUUAUUUCAAGGACUAAGCCAUGCAAAUGUCAGAGUACUUGUGCUUCGGCACUAGGGGGUCUGUGUACGGCUCAUUAAACGGUUAAUAGUCUACCCAACGAAGAGGACAUGCGUGUUCUCCUAAGGGAUACCCGUGCUAACUGCACAGCUAAUACCUGGAAGAAGAAUCUGCGGCCACCCAAACACCUUGGUGAGUGCCUUUCGGGGCGCAAGCCAAGGUGUGGCCGGGAUGCUCUUGGCCGAAACAAAGACCCACGCCCUUACGGGCAGUUGGAAUUGUUGACGCAGGCCAAUGUAGCGGAAGCGCCCUUCGGGGUGCGUUGUUGGACGAAUUCACCACCUAUCAGGUAGAAGGUAGUGUAGUGGACUACCUUGCCUUUAACGGGUAACGGAGGAUUGGGGUUCGAUUCCGGAGAGGGUGCCUGAGAAAUGGCAACCAUGACUACGGUCAGCAGCAGGCGCGCAAAUUGCCCAAUGCCAACACCUGGCGAGGCAGCGACGAAAAAUAGUAUUCCUGUGGGCGAUUUUCGCCCCAGGACUUGCAAUGGAUUGUAUCUACAAACACUGCUGAGUAUCUAUUGGAGGGCAAGUCUGGU